UUGGAGGGCAAGUCUGGUGCCAGCAGCCGCGGUAAUUCCAGCUCCAAUAGCGUAUAUWAAAGUUGUUGCAGUUAAAAAGCUCGUAGUUGAACUUCGGGAUUUACUCAUUGGUCAGGCUUAAUUGUCUGCACUGGUGAGAUGAAUCUCUACCUUCUGAGGAACUUUCAUGCCAUUUAUUUGGUGUGGUUGGAAAUCAGGACUGUUACUUUGAAAAAAUUAGAGUGUUUAAAGCAGGCUAACGUCUGAAUACAUUAGCAUGGAAUAAUGAAAUAGGACGGAUUGAUUCUAUUUCGUUGGUUUCUAGGGUCACCGUAAUGAUUAAUAGGGAUAGUUGGGGGCAUUAGUAUUCAAUUGUCAGAGGUGAAAUUCUUGGAUUUAUUGAAGACUAACUACUGCGAAAGCAUUUGCCAAGGAUGUUUUCAUUAAUCAAGAACGAAAGUUAGGGGAUCGAAGACGAUCAGAUACCGUCGUAGUCUUAACCAUAAACUAUGCCGACUAGGGAUCGGACGAAGUUAAUUUUAUAAUGACGUGUUCGGCACCUUACGGGAAACCAAAG
rnacentral:rRNA from 1 species